rnacentral:rRNA from 1 species
CGGACGGGUGAGUAACACGUGGAUAACCUACCUAUAAGACUGGGAUAACUUCGGGAAACCGGAGCUAAUACCGGAUAAUAUAUUGAACCGCAUGGUUCAAUAGUGAAAGACGGUUUUGCUGUCACUUAUAGAUGGAUCCGCGCCGCAUUAGCUAGUUGGUAAGGUAACGGCUUACCAAGGCAACGAUGCGUAGCCGACCUGAGAGGGUGAUCGGCCACACUGGAACUGAGACACGGUCCAGA